rnacentral:misc_RNA from 1 species
GAUGAAGAACGUAGCGAAAUGCGAUAAGUAGUGUGAAUUGCAGAAUUCAGUGAAUCAUCGAAUCUUUGAACGCACAUUGCGCCCUUUGGUAUUCCUUAGGGCAUGCCUGUUCGAGCGUCAUUUAAACCUUCAAGCUCAGCUUGGUGUUGGGUGACUGUCCGCUUCACCGCGGACUCGCCUCAAAAUUAUUGGCGGCCGGUACAUUGGCUUCGAGCGCAGCAGAAACGCGAACUCGGGCCCGUCGUAUUGGCUCCCAGAAGCUAUCUUCACAAUUUUGACCUCGGAUCAGGUAGGGAUACCCGCUGAACUUAAGCAUAUCAAUAAGCGGGAGGA